rnacentral:rRNA from 1 species
AAGGGCACCACAAGAACGCGUGGAGCAUGUGGCUUAAUUUGACUCAACGCGGGAAAUCUUACCGGGUCCGGACACACUGAGGAUUGACAGGUAAUAAUAUGUCGUUCUGACAUAUUAGUAAAUAUGCUAGUCCUUUCAUGAUUAUGUGGUAGGUGGUGCAUGGCCGUUCUUAGUUCGUGGAGUGAUCUGUCUGCUUAAUUGCGUUUCGCAAAGGACUUAAAAUAUAAGUGUGCUGUACGGUCUCACGACUGUACACGUGCAUAUUAAGUUCUGAAAGCAACGAACGUGACCGCAUCCUCUUGUUGCCUUUUAACAAAGCAUUGCUAUGCUUUAACAAAAGAGUGCUUUAUAAAACUAGAGGGACCGCUGCGACUUUUUUAAACCAGAGGAAGGUUGCGGCAAUAACAGGUCUGUGAUGCCCUUAGAUGUUCCGGGCUGCACACGUGCUACAAUGAUUAUUGCAGUGAGCAUCUCUUAAAAAAACUGCCUUCGUGCAGUUAACGCCUACUUCGAAAGUUCGUAGGUAAUCAAUUGGAAGUAAUGAUUUCCCAAUUUAGUUUGUGAGCACACAAUAUGCUGCUCCCUUCUGUUGCAGUUAGCGUAGUCUUUCUGCAAUCUCAGUUGGGAUGUUUUCAGCAUGUGCUUUUUGUCAAUUCAUGGUGGGGACAGACCAUUGUUAAUUGUUGGUCUCGGUCUUAACUAGGAAUGCCUUGUACGGGUCUUUGGUUCAACAAACCACCCGGAAUACUCCCUGCCCUUUGUACACACCGCCCGUCA